UCUCCUGGAAACGGGUGGUAAUGCCGGAUGCUCCAGUUGGAUGCAUGUCCUUUUGGAAAGAUUCAUCGGUAUGGGAUGGGGUCGCGUCCUAUCAGCUUGAUGGCGGGGUAACGGCCCACCAUGGCUUCGACGGGUAGCCGGCCUGAGAGGGCGACCGGCCACAUUGGGACUGAGAUACGGCCCAGACUCCUACGGGAGGCAGCAGUGGGGAAUAUUGCACAAUGGGCGCAAGCCUGAUGCAGCGACGCCGCGUGCGGGAUGACGGCCUUCGGGUUGUAAACCGCUUUUGACUGGGAGCAAGCCCUUCGGGGUGAGUGUACCUUUCGAAUAAGCACCGGCUAACUACGUGCCAGCAGCCGCGGUAAUACGUAGGGUGCAAGCGUUAUCCGGAAUUAUUGGGCGUAAAGGGCUCGUAGGCGGUUCGUCGCGUCCGGUGUGAAAGUCCAUCGCUUAACGGUGGAUCCGCGCCGGGUACGGGCGGGCUUGAGUGCGGUAGGGGAGACUGGAAUUCCCGGUGUAACGGUGGAAUGUGUAGAUAUCGGGAAAGAACACCA
rnacentral:rRNA from 1 species